rnacentral:lncRNA from 1 species
UGGCAUUCCUUCCAGGAGCACCACACUAGUUGGGGCUCCAGGUCUCCCACACUCGGCUCUCGCCCUGCAGAGCGCAGCUCCCCUGGGUGAUUUUCUUGCUGGCUGAGUGGCAGUCAGCACUCUGGGAGGCUGCUGGGUCAGUGUCCUAACUGAGCACUCCAGGAGCAGGGCUAUGCUGCUCCCAGGUCAGCUGCCUGUCCCCAGGAGUUUUGAUGUGUCGUGCUACCUGUGUGGGAAACUGCCUCCUCCUUCGCUGUUCCACUUGUGCCUGACAGCAGUGCAUUUGCAGAAAGGAAAACAGCACUGUCUCCUGAUGCACUCACAGAAGCGUAUCUACUCCCACCCCUGCUGAGGGUCCUCGGGAGUCGAGUCUGGACCGCCGGGGUCAUCUGCCCCAGAGUGAGGAGAACCUGACACCAGUGUCAGGAGGAGGAGGACUGGAACCUGCUCUGAAAUGGCUGGGAGUGGCAGGAUGGACCCCACUCAGACGGAAGGGACCGACCUUCAUAAUCAAUGCCUUGACAACCAAAGCCCGGAAACUCACACAGGGCGGGUGUGAGGCUCAGCCGGAGAGUGUGUGCUUGGCAUGCAUGAGUUCAAGCCCCAGCUGCAAACAGAAGGAAAAGAAAAUACCCAGAAACUUCAUGUAAGGGGAAUCCACCCUGUUUGUUCUGUGUUUGUGGUUGAUUAUGCUUAAUAGAGUGUCUCCAGCAUUCAUCCUUAUAGUAGCACGGCACAAUUCUAUCCGGUACAAUUCUAUCCUCCAGGGCUGUCGUGAUCCCUUAUGCGUACACGAUUUUGCGAGUUUACUCAUCCUGGGUUGGUCCCACCUUUACCACUGUGAACAUAGUGGUGCUUAUCUGUUCGGUUUCUGCUUUCACUUCUUUGGGGUGUGCCAGAGGCGAAAGUGCUGUCCUGGGACUUCACGCUUCAGUCUGGAGCCAGGAGGGUUGUGAGCGCUCCUGGUUCUAAGGCGCAGCCAGAGCCAGGAGCCUGGAGGUCAGGCUGCAGCUGAACUUCCUGCCGUGACUUAGCCCUCUGGGAAGAAGCCACAGCCCAGGUCAGCUAAAGCAGCCUCCCAGAGGGGACCCCACACUGCGUUCCCACUGCCCCGUGAGUCCCAGCAGCGGCAGGUUGGGGGGACCCCUGUGUGCACUGGCACCUCUCAGGUCCCAGCCACGCCCUGCUGGGAAUGCAGACUCUGAGGGCCCAGAGCGGCUUCCUCCCCGCAGCCCUGGUUACUCUAGUAUGCAGCCCGCUCAGACCUGCUGACCCUGUUCAGUCCUGGCAAAAGCGAGAACCCGGCCGAGGUGCAGCUCUGGGGCUCGGGUUGGAUUGCUAAGGGACAUGGUGGUAUUGAGCACAGUGAGGCCACAUUGGUCCUGAGGUGGGAGGAAAAAAUACAGGUAGAAAGGGCGAGGAAAUAAUUGUAAUGUUUGAGAAAACUGCAGCUUCCAGACAAGGUCAAAGUUAUCCAAGGUUCCAGUCCUCUCACCGAGUCCUGUUUCUUUCUUCCAGCUCCGCCCUCCUAAGUUCCUAAGAGUCUUAAGAUCAUGUUAUCCGUAAACCGGAUCUGUGUUUUUCUUCCAGUCCUAUAAAUUCACAAUUCCACGGGCUGCCACCCUUGGGGAAACAGCACCAUUUAUGGGGCACGUUGCCUCUGAACUUCACGUACAUGCUUCUAACAUGCACUCAGUACAUUGAUCUUAACUGAGGUCAUGGGGUCUGGUUUUUCUUUAGCCCACUAAUGGGUAACCUGACAGACUCAGGUAACUUAAGCAUAACUCAAAGGGUAAACAUCCCAGUCACCCAUCUCGAGGACACCCCUAGACCACACAGAUCUCCCCUGGAUCCUAAUCCUGCCAUAAUAUUUGUUUUGAAAUUUGAAUUUGUUUCCAAUACCAGUGAUAUUAGGGAACAUUGACAUAUUAGGGAGGAUUAUUAUUAAUUUUUUUGGUACCGGGGAUCAAACUCGGGUCCCUUGUGCUUGCGCAGCAGGCGGCGAAACCACUGAGCUAAAUCCCCAGCCCUAGGGAGGAUUACUGAUACAUCACACUCCGGGAUCCAUGUAUCACCCUGUCUAGAGUGCUCUCGGGGCUCCCACCCCAAGACACAGGCUUUCUUUGGAUCUUGGGAGAAGCCCCCAGAGCCCAUAACCUGCUCGCAUACCCAGCACACCAGGAAGGCGUGCUGCAGCAGCCUGCGAACCAGGGCCCAGGAAGGCUGAGGUGCUCUGGGCAAGCAAGGCACCCAGGGGUCUGUCUCAAAAGACUCUUGGAACAGACUUUCAGGGGCUCAGAGCGGUGGGCGUGGCCCUGUCCCUUCCUGAGGUGCCCAUGGGGCAUCUUUCCUGUCUGUCAUUCCCCUGCCAAGCAUUUCAUUUACUAACCACAUCCUCCUUGGCCCAAGCCCUGCACCCACCUCCACUUGCAAUCGGACUUCCAUCUUCACAAGCCAGGAGCCACAUCUACUACAGUAUUUAUUUCUUUUCUUUUAUUUUUUUGGUACCAGGGAUCGAACUCGGACCUUGAGCUUGCGAGGAAUGUGGUGGAACCACUGAGCUAAAUCCCUGGCAGUGUUUGUGUAUUUCUUAAUCAUUGAACAUGGCUGACACUCUGCUAUUAUUCUCAUUCGGUUCCGCCUUUUCCUGUGCUGCUGAUGUUGGGAUUUUGCUGUUUUUUGUUUUUGUUUGGUGGCUAGGAUGGGACCCUGGGCCCCUCCCAUGCUAAGCACGUGCUGUCACUGAGUGUGGCCCCUGGCCCCACUGGCCAAGGGCUUUGUGUGGUUUUCUGUUUUGUUUUGUGGGGCCAGGGAUCUAUCAGUGGUGGGUUUUGAAUGUUUUACUCAUUUUCACCAAAACCCUGUGGUUUUUAGCAUGUGGUUAUAUAGUGCCGUGGUUUUCAAGCAGGAGCGCGUAUCUCCUGGUGGAACCAGCCACAGAAGCCAUCCUGCUUUGUAUCAGCCUUGUAAGGAUGCUGAGGAGAUGCUGCCCAUGGAGGAUUUAGAUCUUGUCCCCUUCUGUCCUCUCCUGGCAGCCACCGGACAUAGAGCUCUCUGAUGGGGUGGUGCCUGCCACAGUGGCCAGGGGGAGGAGCAGGUGGCCACAGCACGACCCACUCCCUGCACGUGUGUGCAGUGGCCUCGGGCCACUCCGUCUGCUCUGCUGGGUCCCUGUGUCCAUGUCGCCCAGGCCCUUGCCUGCUGCCCCGUGCCAUGUGGACUCGGGUCUCGAGCUCUGUCUUCCUGAGGCUGGGCUCGGUGUGCAGCAGCCCACCUGGCUCGUGUCCUCUUCAGACAGGAAGAGUCCCUGGGUCACAAAGCACUUACCUCAGUGCAGGGGGCACCGGGCGCACCUCCCUACACCUCUGACCGCAGCGCUGCCUCUCCCGAGACCCCCACGCACAGCUGGCCUGGCCCCUGCCCUCCACCCUGAAAUCCGCUUCCGAGGUAAAAAUGACUCACUUCAAGCCCUUCGGUACUUCACGAGCACACAGGUCUGCGUGGUGUCCAUGAUACAACACAAGCCCGAACAGUUUUCUUUAUGUCUCGUCUGCGUAUUCCGCUGGCUUCAUCCACCGUACUUCACCUUUGGCUUCCCUAUUAGGAACUUGAAUUUCUGCUGUCCUGCUUAUGUGUUGUUAGGGGCUGUCUUUCACUCAUCAUCACCCCAAAGUCAGGGUCAGGCUGCCUGGUUCUAUGGGCACACUUAGAAGCCAGUGCUGAGUCAUCCAAAGACAGAACUGAAACUGAAAACGCUAACUCUGCUCUGAGCUGGCAUUCUCACAGCGGUCUGUUGGCUUUCGCUGUGUGGUUGCCUAAGAUGAGGACUCGUCCUGAGGUUUGGAUAAAACAGGGGCUGCAAAACUGUCAGCAACUUGGGGAGUUAGUGCUUUCCUGCAGAUAGUGGUUCAGCAUCAGAACAUGUUCACCUUUCGGCCGCUGAAAAUCCUCAUUUGUGAAGUCCAAGUUUCUGUUCUCUUUUCCUCUAGAACAGCAGUCAGCAAACUGCAGCCUGUGUUUAGACUGAAAAGCCUAAAAUAUUUACCAUGCUCCUCACAGUGGAGUUUGCCAGCCCCUGCUCUGGAACUCAAAGUGCCGGGUCAUUCUGUAUAAGUUAAAGAUUCUCACCGUGAUGCUGAAACGGGGCCUCAGCAGGUCGGAGCCUCCAACCCCAGGUGCAGCAUUUGGUUUGGGAUGCGAAUGUGCAGCUUUGGAAGACAACCCCACGCCCUCCAAGGGGGUCUGUGACUUCAAAACCCGAGAGUCCCUUCCCGCCGUGUUUCCCAUGCGGGCUGAGUGCAUAACUCACAGCAGCACCCUCAGCCGUGGGAGGCUGAUCUUGUCCGGCCUUGAAGGUCGUGCUGGAAUGCACUUCACCCUGCAGGGUGGGAGCGCUACACAAAGCACGAGGACUGUGGUCCUUCCCUGGGCAUCGCUCUCCUCCUUGGCUCUCAGGCCUGACUCCCCUGACCUGGUUUCCUCUGCCGCACAACCUCGCCUGGGUGCACUGAAUAGGGACCCUGCUUCAUGCCUCGAGCCUGCAUCCACAGCUUCCGGGAUCGCAGCCGGGGACCCCCACACACCUUGGCUUGACCUGAGGGGCUACUGCAGCCGGGGCCUCGGAUCCCUCCCUCCAAGCAUCUGUCUCUCUCCGCCCACUCGAGUCCCUUUUUAGCCCUGCUUUGUCAAUCAUGAUUUAUAUUUGAUCUUAUCAUCGAUGCAAUGUGGUCACCACAAAUGAGACAGUCACAGGCUGCGCAUGUGGAGAGAGUAAACAGCACCCAGAGAGAUCCUGGCUUUCAUCUCAGGGGGCCUGUGAGAACCCAGCAGAAAGAACCGGACAUCUGAACCCUGGACCACAGGUGUCAGGUGCAGCCCCUCCCCGCACUGCUGUGAAACCCAUAAGCAGAGCAUCAUCUGCCUUCCAUACAAUCUUGAAUCAAUAUAAUGCCCCAACUGGGACAUAAAAGGGAAGAAUUUAUGGUGAGUUGAUGUGCACUUCCUUGUGAAUGCCUGGUACAGCGACAGUAGAAGACAAAAUGAGGCAGGUGGACAUUCACGCCGACUUGUUCGAAAAAAAGUUUAGAUUUAAGUGAAAUAAGAUAAUAUUCAACUGACGCUUUUUAAAUUACACUUGACAUUCUGAAAGGAAGACCGCAUGAAUUUGCUUAUAUGUAAGCAGUCGCCGGUAGGGCAGCAUAGAAACAGUCAUCCUCCUGUUCCUGGUUCCCAGCGGGCCUGGCGUGGAGAAGAGAUCUUCUGACACGCACAGUCAUACUGUGUAGAGUUCCAAGGUUCAGCCUUCCCCAGAGUAACAGGCAGCUGCAUUCCUGGAAACGCAGUGACGAUCGGAGCAUGUGGCGCUUUGGACUAGGUGUUCAGCCUUCGGGGUGCUGGCAGACGUCCUACCACCCUGCGGCGCUGCCUGGUCCUGGGAGGCACAAGGCUGCUGUGCUUCCAGGCCUGGCCCCUGGGGGUACUCCCGCCCCUCCCUGUGAGGACCGAAAGGGCCUGGACGGCUGCUGCAGAUCCACAGAGAGCUCCCCAGGCCGCUGCCCCCGCCACGAGCCCCCGCACUAGCGUCCGUUAAAACGCUGGCUAUACCUGUGUCUAAUGGGAGCAGACAGUGAGUACAUACGCAGAUGGGCAAGAAUACCAAGGGGGUUUGGGCAGAAGGUGGUAAAUUGAUGGGACCCGGCUCUCUCCUGCUCCUCAGUGGGGACAGGAUGUGGGUGACAGACGCGAGGGUGAGGUCCCUGCGACCUCCCCUCUGUUCUCCUCACAGGACCCAGCACAGUCCUUAGGACACCUGUGCUAAACUUAGCACCUCGCUCUGCUGCUGCUCACGCUAGCCAACCACUCACCCCAGACAGAGGGCAACCUCCGCCGCGGGACUCCGGGCGUGCCCUGGGCUGUGGUCGCAACGAGCACACCACACAGAUGUCAGCAUGUGCGCGGUGCCUGGUACAGCCCACGACGCUGUGGACACAACACAGCAGCGUGGUCUGGGUGGCGAGGGGUCAGCGUGCCCGGACCAGCCGGGAUCCCAGAGAUGAGCUGGAGGCUGGGCACGGGAGGGGAAGCAGUGGAGCAUUUCCCACCCCUCGGGGGACCUUGGGGCUGGAAGGGGCCCAGUCCCCUCCUGCAGCAUUGUGCAUUUCCCUCGGCAAAUCUUGAAGGAAUGAACAAGCAUAGUUACUGCAACUGAACAGGCAAGUUUUAGGGCUGGGGACUUAGCUCAGUGGUUCUGCUGCCUGCCUUGCAAGUGCAAGGUCCCGAGUUUAAUCCCGGUACCAAAACAAGAAGAAAGAAUAGAUAAGUUUUGCUGGUUUUGUUUUUUGUUUUGUGGUGCUGGGGAUAUCGGAACACAGGACCUGUGCCUGCUAGGCAGACGCUCUCCCUGCUGAACUGCGCCCAGCCCCAGCCCCAGCCCGGGCCACGCUUCGUAGAUCCCUGGCGUGGUGGCCAGCAUGUGGAAAAUGCAGCAUGAAGAGCGUGACAGAAAUGUGUGAUGAGCAGCCUGGUCUACACCAGCAACGUCUGCCAACGGCCCUCUCCUGGGACAGAGGAGCAAGGGCCCAGGGAGCAGCACACCAUAGGGUCCCCAGGUCCUGGCCCCGUGCAGUGCCUCGGGCUGAGCCGCUGUUUCUCCACUCCUUCCUCCGUAGGACCAUGGCAGGUCCCCUUGACCUCCUCGUGGGCAUGGUGCUCCUGGCCAGCCCUGCGCUCGGGAUCCCGGCCUGCUCCUCCGAUGGCCAGGUGGCUCUAUUUCGUUUCCUGCAACCUCACCCAGGUCCCCCCAGGUCCUCAACACCACCAAGAGGCUCCUGCUGAGCUCCAACUACAUCGGGACGGUCACAAGCACGUCCUUCCCUUUCCUGGAGCAGCUCCAGCUGCUGGAGCUCGGGGGCCAGCUGACACCCCUGACCAUCGGGCCAGAGGCCUUCCGGAACCUGCCCACCCUCAGGAUCUUGGACCUGGGUGACAGCAAGAUGCAUGCCCUGCAUCUGGAUGCUUUCCAGGGUCUGCCCCAGCUGCUUGAACUUAGACUGUUUUCCUGUGGUCUCUCGGAUGCUGUGUUGAGAGAUGGUUAUUUCAGAAAUUUAAAUUCCUUAACCCACUUGGACCUGUCUGUAAACACGAUUAGCAGCCUUUACCUUCAUCCUUCAUUUCAAGGACUAAAUUCCUUAAAGUCUGUGGAUUUUCUUUCAACCAAAUCCCCACUCAUAUGUGAGGGUGAGCUCAGCCCACUCCAAGGGAAGACGCUGUCUCUUCUCCGCCUCAGAAUGACGAAGGUGUACAUGAGGGGCGUGGACUGGGGGAAGUGUGGGAACCCCUCCGAAGCCUGCAGCUGGAGACCCUCGACGCUUCUGAGAACGGCUGGACCGUGCCCAUCAUGGGAAACUUCAGCAACGCCAUUGAGGGGAGCAAGGUUUCCUCUUUGAUCCUUCAGUACCACAUCAUGGGGGCUGGGUUUGGCUUCCGUAACAUCAAGGAUCCCGACCGGAGCACGCUUGCAGGCCUGGCCAGAAGCUCGGUGAGGAGCCUGGAUCUCUCGAAGGGGUUCAUCUUCUCCCUGAACCCCCGGCUCUUUGAGACGCUCAAGGACUUGAAGGUCCUGAACCUUGCCCACAACAAGAUAAACAGGAUCUUAAAUGGGGCCUUUGAAGGGCUCGAUGGCCUCCAGGUCCUCAAUCUGUCAUUUAACCUCCUGGGGGAGCUGUAUAAUUCCGACUUCCGGGGGCUGCCCAGUGUAGCAUACAUUGACCUUCAGAGGAAUCACAUUGGGAUCGUUCAGGCCCAAACCUUCAGAUUCCUGGGGAACCUAGAGACCUUGGAUCUCUCGGGACAAUGCUCUUAAGACCAUGUCUUUUAUUCCGAGCAUACUUACUGUCUUUCUAGGUGGCAACAAACUGGGGACUUUGCCACAUCAAUCUCAGCGUUGACUUCAUGCAGUUAUCAGCAAACAGGCUAGAAAAUCUGGCCGAUCUCUACUUCCUCCUCCAGGUGCCUCAUCUCCACACGCUCAUCUUAAAUCAAAAUCGCCUUUCCUCCUGUCCACCAGGCCUUAGCCCUGCAGCGAGCCACAGCUUAGAAAAACUUCUCCUUGGAGAAAAUAUGCUGCAACUGGCCUGGGAAACUGGGCUCUGCUGGGAUGUUUUUAAGGGACUUUCCCGUCUCCAGGUUCUGUUUCUGAAUGAUAACUACCUUAAUUUUCUCCCACCUGGGGUAUUUAGUGAGCUGACUUCACUAAGAGGACUCAGCCUCAGCUCCAACAGGCUGACAUCUCUCCCUGCCGGCAGUUUUCAGCCAACUUGGAGUCCUUGGAUCUCUCUCUCUGAAACCAGCUCCUCUCUCCAGAUCCCAGCUUGUUUGCAUCACUGCAUUUCCUGGACAUAACCCAUAACAAGUUCAUCUGUGAGUGCGAGCUGACCACAUUUAUCAGAUGGCUCAACCAUACCAGUGUCACUCUUGAGGGGUCUCCUGAGGAUGUGUCCUGUGCAUACCCCGCCUGGCUCUCAGAUGUGCCCCUCUAUUCUCUCUCCACGGAGGGCUGUGAUGAAGAGGAAGCCUUGAAGUCUGUGCAGCUUUCUCUCUUCAUCACGUCUGCUGUCACCGUGACUCUGUUCCUCACAACUAUCCUCGUGGUCACAAAGCUCCGGGGUUUUGUUUCCUGUGCUACAAGACAGUGCAGAGCCUGGUGUUGGGCGACCGACCCCUGAGAAGAGACCCCAACACGUUCAAAUACGAUGCCUAUUUCUGCUUCAGUAGCAAAGACUUCCUCGAAUGGGUUCAGAACGCUUUGCUUAAACAGCUGGAUGCUCAGUACAGCCACCAAAACAGACUUAACCUGUGCUUCGAAGAGCGAGACUUCAUCCCCGGGAGGACCACGCCGCCAACCUCCAGGCUGCCAUCUGGAGCAGCAGGAAGGUCGUCUGCCUGGUGAGCAGGCACUUCCUCCUUGACGGCUUGGUGCCUGGAAGCCUUAGCCUACACUCAGGGCAGGUGCUGUGUCUGACCUCCAGAGCGUGCUCGUGGUGGUAGUGGUGGGGUCGCUGUCCCAGUACGAGCUGAUGAGACAUCAGGCCAUCCGAGGAUUUGUGCAGAAGCAGCAGUACUUGAGGUGGCCUCAGGAUCUCCAGGAUGUGGGCUGGUUUCUCAGUAAAACUCACUCAGCACAUACUAAAGAAAGAGAAGGGAAGGAAGGGGAGACAGCGCCAUGCAGCUGCAGAUGGUAGCCUCCACCUCCUAGCAAAAACAGCAGCGUGCGGCAUGUCCCAAGCCACAAAAGCUCUGCUCUGUAUUUGUGCCAGCUUGUCAUCUGGGGUCCUUCCGGGGGUCUCUUCCUGCUAUGAAGACAGUGACUGUGUCUUGGUUUUUCUGUCGAUACCGUGUUUUGUCUCACUGCCCUCCAAAUGGAAAAGAACAGAUCUGGAAAACUGUAGCUGCGCCUGGCAGCUCCCGCUCACUGCUGAUUUCCUCUGACCCAGCGACGCCACUGUGUCCUGCUGUAUGAUGCGCAGUGUCCCCUGCGUGGCAGGGGCACCUCGGGAAAAGUUACAGAUGGCUCCAUGCUCUCGCUGGGCUCUGUUCAGGAACUGGCUGGGCAGAGACUCCGAGUGCUCAGUGCCCCACAAACCAACAUUGAACAGUAAACCAAGGGAAGAAGGGACGUGUGUAGGAAGACGCCCUGUGACACCAGGUACACUCGGUCUCGGGGAGGAGGUGGCCCUGGAGACGCUGGGGUGGGAAGAACCCAUUCUCCGGCCACACCACACUUCCUUGUCAGUGGGAUCUUUCAGCUGGGACUUGGGGCCUUCCCGGACCCAGCACCAACCCACCUUCUCUCUUUCCCGCCUACCACGCCUCAUUUAUCAACUAUGAGCACUGCUGUGAAAAGAAAACGGGCUCUUCUCGGGGUUCAGCUCGGCCCAGCGUGUCAGGGCAGCCGGAGCUCUCCCCACGUCACCCUCUAGCUGCAAGACCCGCACACCCCGAGGGCCCCUCUGCACCCAGUCGCCAGGCUCCGGUCUGGAUUUUUUAAUCCUAAAAGGAGCCUAUGUGCAUUUUGCAUUGUAAUCCUUUUUAUGUUUAUUACCGCAGACCUUUUUUGCAAAUACAUUAAGAAAAUUUAAACCAAAGGUGUGUCAUGAUUGCCCCUCGCUCACAUCCAGGAUGCCUCUACUGUCCCUCACCGUGACACACUCUCGUGCACACACAGACACACACAGGCCUGGCUCUCGGGACACUUCCCACCCAUGACACAGCUUGCCCCACACCUAGGGAUGGAACGGCUCCUUUGCAAACCCUCUUUCUGGAAUGUUCUCUCAUACCUUCCCGUGUUCUAUGUGUUCUUCAAGAUCCAGCCCCUACAGCCGAAGGGUCCCACUCAAAGUCCUCUCGAAUUUUUUGUGAGGACUCUGGACGCUUUAUCUGUUCUCUUCACAGUGGCAUCUGCUGCUGCUACCUCCUCUGUGAGCUGGGAGCCCUCUGGCCUGUCAGGUCCACAAGGGAAAGACACGUUCUCUGAGCCCCACCCCACACACCGUGACAGAUCACGCUCCACCUUCAGGCUGUCUAGAGCUUCCCGGCUGCACAGGAAUGACGGCCAGCAACAUCGAUGGCUCUUCAUGUCUGAAGAGGUCUAUGUCACAGCCUCUCCUGGCAUGUGUUGAAAGCACACACAGCGGGUGGCUCGCCUGGUGCGACACACUAAGGAAGCGCCUGCCCUCAUCUCCAGCUGGAGUGGAGGGGAGACCCGUUCCCAUCACGCACCCCAGGCACUCGGUAUCACCCGUGUCUCCAGUUCACCCAGAAACCUCUUCCGGCAAAGACCUGAAGUUUUCUUAAAAUCUCGUCAUUUGUCUUUUCUCCUGUCACUAGGAUCAGCAGCUGGAAUUCGUUUUGAAGCCAUUUCCCAAGUGUUUUCCACUUUGUUGCUACCUGGACACCCAAGGGACAGGCUGGUGGCGCCUCGUGGGAAGAGGGUCUGGCACGUGGUAGCUGGAGGUGAGGCUCCGGGAUGCCAACAAACUUGCCGGACGAGCACCGAGGUGCCAGCGGGGAGGGAGGGAAGGGCCGCGCUGCUCACUGUUCUGCAGGGUCCCUUCCCUGACCUGUAGUCCCCUGCUUUUGGGUCUGCGACAGGUAGCACACCAUGGCAGGCAGGUGUGCUGGAGCGAGAUGCCCACUGCAAGGCCGGAAAGCGGAGAAAAGACCGGAAAAGGAAGGGGCUUGGGUCUCGUGGAGCCCUCCGAGAGCACAGGCCAGGCCGGGCAGCACCCACGAGGUCCCGCCUCCCUGUGGCGCCACGGCGGGGACAACCCUUUUAACCCGGGCCUUGGGAGACAUCCCAGGGCCGAAGCUGACCAUCCGCAAGGCCAUCUCUUUGGGGUCAUGCUAAAACAGUGGGAGCUAAUCUAAGACGGCCUCCAGCUUACUGUAUUUGAAACAGAGACUAUUUAGAAACUUUAGAAUGCGUUAGGGCUGCUGAAAGCUUCAAAGGGAAUCUCACUCAUCACCCCAAAUACAGCCGACUUUGAAAAUUCCUUCUCAACCUCCUGCACCUACAGUGAAUAAUCUUUGAUAUAAUGUAAAAUGCAAGUGACUUAAGCUUGAAACGAUGGAAUAACACUGUUGGGAACACAGGUGAAAGCUAGAUGUCCAUCUACCACUAUAAAAAUUAUUAUAAAACGCUUAUAACAUGAAGUCCAGAAAUAACAUUCAAGUACAUACUUAGAAGACUGGAAAAGCCAGAAGAAAGAACUUCAGGAAUUGAUGGCGAUGGCCUGAAGGAGCUCUGCCCAGCUCUUCCACCGGAACGUCCAGAAAAGCUGGAGAAAUUAUUUUCGGAAUCUGUUUAAAGGCACUGGAGAGCUGCAAGGCCGUCAGCAGGGCCAAGGGCCAAGGGCAGAAGCGAGAGAGAGGAGCACAGUGCAAGUACGGCCUUCCGCCCGCAGAGGAGGAGCGUCACCGAGAGAGCGGGGGACGUUCUCUCUACACGCACUGAAAAGGAUUCCUAGCCGAUUAGGGACACAUGUCUACAAACCAAGAAGGAAAGGCAACGGAAAAGAAAAGUGGGCAAGAGGACUCAGAAUUUCACAAACGGAUAUCUAGUGUCCAGCAAGCAAAUGAAAAGGACUUUGACCAGUUUAGUCGUCAGAAAAAUGCAAAUUAAACCCCGUGUGCUGCCCCUACACACUGGUGAGCGGUUAAACAAGGGGGGCCAGCAGCAAAGAUGCAGAACAGCGCACCCUGCUGGCUAGUGGGGAGUGCGCAAUGGCGCCACCCGCCAAGGCUGACCUUGUGAUGGGGCGGUGUGUGCGCACAGGUGUAUGCUCCACAGAACCCAGCAUACCCCCAGAGGCCACAGCAAAAUGUUUGAGCAGCGUUACUGUGGUGGCCGACACUGGAAAUGCCCGCGUGUCUGUUAGCCGUAGAGUGGAUGGACGGGGUAGUUGGAAACUAUCAGAGAUGACAACCAGCUCCAGCUACGUGCAGCAGCACGAGUGACUGCACAAAAUGUUAGGCCACAGAGAUAAAGCAUCAUGAUCAUAUAUGGAGUGGCUCUGUCUUUCCAUGUUUCAGAAAGACAUAACUCACCUGUGGUGACCAUGGCGACGACGGUGGCCGUGGACAAGGAGGGCAGGGGGCUGAGGGGCUUCCGAGGGGCAGUUCUGCCCCAUUCUCCUUCCUGACUGGACGGUUGGUGACAGGUGAGCUCACUUGGUGAUGGUACAGGGUCAUCAAAAUAUACAGCGAACAUUUAGCUUAAAAAUGGGUUACAACAAAACACACACUGCCAUGGAUUCCCCUCACUUCCAACACGCUUAAUCCCAUUGUUCCCGCCACUUUCUGAAGCAGUUCUGCAAGUCCUCUGUUGCAAGUGUCUCUUCAUAGCUGCCCCAAUGUCCUGAUUUGGGUCAAAAUGUUUAUAGCAAUUUCUGUCCAAUAAAAAUAUGACACUGUGUCUUCAUCCACCUUAUCCACUGGCUCUGGCAUCGUGACUUCUGGCUCUUCCCCAAAGCCCAAAGUAAAAAUAACCCUAAAAGGGAAAAUGGAGGCAGCCAGGACAGCACAACUCAAGUCACUCAGGAAAGAGGACUCCAGAGCUGCUGCAGAAAGUGGCAGGAACAAUGGGCUAAGUGUAUCUGUAACGAGGGGAUGGAUUUUGAGGGGGGAUUUGUGGUAAAGUGUCUUUUACUGUAACACUUUUUUCCUAAUUUAAAUAUGAACUGUAAUUUUCAAUAAUAUAUCAUAUAUUUUAUCUGUAUCAAUUAAUUCAUUAACUUUUCUGUAGGGAUUUUUCUUCAAUUUAAAAAUAAAAAAUUUAAGGGCCGGGGAUUUAGCUCAGUGGUUUUGCCGCCUGUCCUGCAAGCACAAGGACCUGAGUUUGAUUCUCGGUACCAGAAAACAAACAAACAAACAACAAUAACAAAAUGUAAAAUCAGGAGAUUUGCUGUAGUUGUUAAAGGAAUAAAAGACACGUAGUGUUCUGACUUAUGUAGAAUGAGUGGGACACUCUCCCUCAGAUCCCUUAUUGUUCCUUAGGGGCUGCUCCUGGUGCACUGUCUCCCCUGCUUGGACCGAGCACCACUAGGAGGGUCAGAGGACUGUGGCUUCAUUGCCAGGCUUUGGUAUCUCCUCCUGUUUAACCGUGCAAGCGUUUCACUGGCAGUGCUCAAAACAGGCGAAAAGAAAUCGGUACUUACACAGAGUAGAAAUGGUAACUUCUGCCAGUGACAGAAGACAGAGAAUAGAGAAAACUAGCUAGAAUUUUCAAAUUAAACCACCAACAAAGGAAAUAAAACUACUUCAACAGAUGAAUAUACA